UACGUAGGGUGCAAACGUUGUUCGGAAUUACUGGGCGUAAAGCGUGUGUAGGCGGCUCUGCAAGUCGGAUGUGAAAGCCCCGGGCUCAACCUGGGAAGUGCACUCGAAACUGCUGAGCUUGAGUAUCGGAGAGGUCGGUGGAAUUCUCGGUGGAGAGGUGAAAUUCGUAGAUAUCGAGGGGAACACCAGUGGCGAAGGCGGCCGACUGGACGAAUACUGACGCUGAGACACGAAAGCGUGGGGAGCAAACAGG
rnacentral:rRNA from 1 species